UUCCUCAGCCGGGAAUCAAACCCGGGGCUCCCGCGUGGCAGGCGAGCAUUCUACCACUGAACCAAAA
rnacentral:tRNA from 1 species